rnacentral:ncRNA from 2 species
ACCUUAUCCAGAGAGGCGGAGGGACUGGCCCGAUGAAGCCCGGCAGCGGAUCUGCCCGUACGGCGGCAGAUGCUGUGCCAAUUCCAGCAGGAGCAUUCCUGACAGAUAAGAA